UACGUAGGGUGCGAGCGUUGUCCGGAAUUACUGGGCGUAAAGAGCUCGUAGGUGGUUUGUCGCGUUGUCCGUGAAAACUCACAGCUCAACUGUGGGCGUGCGGGCGAUACGGGGCAGACUGGAGUACUGCAGGGGAGACUGGAAUUCCUGGUGUAGCGGUGGAAUGCGCAGAUAUCAGGAGGAACACCCGGUGGCGAAGGCGGGUCUCUGGGCAGUAACUGACGCUGGGGAGCGAAAG
rnacentral:rRNA from 1 species